rnacentral:lncRNA from 1 species
AACAAACCAGUCUUCCCUUCCUCACAAGCCCACCUCACAUUUUCACACUUCAACUCUUCCCCAUUCAAAAGCUCUCAUCUUUUUCAAUUCUUGCACCUCUUCUUGAUGCAAAAAUGGUGAAACCCAGCUCACAAUUGUGUUCUUUUCUCAUCAUGGUCACCUUGUUUUACACCAUCAAAGUUGAUUCCAAGAAGUGCCAUGGUGAAUGCACUGCUUUAGCUUCAUACUACUUAUGGGGUGGAGCAAAUCUAACUCUCCUAACCGAGGCCUUCAACACAAAUUAUAGUAACAUCAUGGGUUAUAAUCCGCAGAUAUAUAAUUUUAACAAGAUUUAUAAAGGCCAGAGAGUGAAUGUUCCAUUUCAAUGUGGGUGUUUAAGGGGUUCAGAUUCUGAGUUUCUUGGUCAUCAGCAAUAAUUAUGUUUAGAUGUGAUUUUUUUAACACCUUAAAAUACGUGUAAAAAAAGUCAAAAGCAGUUAAAAUGGGACGGAGGGAGUACUAGUUAAGUACAGUAGAAACUCCAUUUCACAUAAUUAUAAUUAGUGAUUUUAUGUCAUUUCGGCUGGCAUGAUUAAAAUUAUUUUAUAUAAUUUUUGUUAUAUAACAAUAUAACUGAAUUAAAACAUUAUAGAGAGUUUUUUUUUUUUUUUGAGGAAAACAUUAUAGAGAGUUGAAUACAAUCUCUUGAUUUUUAUGAAAAGGUUCAUAUGUCGCACAACAUAUUAAAAUAAUAAAAUUAAGAAAAAUGGACUAAAAUAUCAUUUAUUUAUGUCGGAUAAUCUAAGCGUGUCUAAUUUUUUUAUUGGACAGCUUUAAUCAAUAUCCAAAAAACUACGCGAUACAUCGCGUCAUCGCCUAUAUAUUUCUUACUCCCUCCGUCCCGGUCAUUUCUAUACAGUUUUUUUUGGGAUGUCCCAUCAUUUCUAUACAUUCCUAAAAUAGCAACUUUUAAUAAUGUAAAACACUAUUACAUCAACUACUUCCUUCCACUAUCUUCAUUUUAUAAUAAUAUAAACACUAUUACACCCACUACUUUUGUCCACUAUCACAAAUCUAUAAUUAAAUACAAAUGGAUCCCGCCACUUUACCCACUUUUCAUCUAACUUUAUUAUUUUUUACACUUUUUCUUGGUCUCCGUGUGCACGACAAAUGUAUAUAACCUUUUGAGGCGGAGGGAGUAUCAUUUUUGAUAUAAUAUUAAUAACUGAUAUUUCUGAUAUUUUUCGGACUGUGAUAAUCAGAAUAUUAAUAAUCGCCCAUUGACGACAAAAGUCCACGACACAAAAAGUCUUGAGUUUCACAUUCACAACUUCUAGUUCUAGACCCAUCACAUUUCCACACUACUGCCAAAGACUAACAAACCAGUCUUCCCUUCCUCACAAGCCCACCUCACAUUUUCACACUUCAACUCUUCCCCAUUCAAAAGCUCUCAUCUUUUUCAAUUCUUGCACCUCUUCUUGAUGCAAAAAUGGUGAAACCCAGCUCACAAUUGUGUUCUUUUCUCAUCAUGGUCACCUUGUUUUACACCAUCAAAGUUGAUUCCAAGAAGUGCCAUGGUGAAUGCACUGCUUUAGCUUCAUACUACUUAUGGGGUGGAGCAAAUCUAACUCUCCUAACCGAGGCCUUCAACACAAAUUAUAGUAACAUCAUGGGUUAUAAUCCGCAGAUAUAUAAUUUUAACAAGAUUUAUAAAGGCCAGAGAGUGAAUGUUCCAUUUCAAUGUGGGUGUUUAAGGGGUUCAGAUUCUGAGUUUCUUGGUCA